rnacentral:rRNA from 1 species
GCUCUCUGGGUGGCGAGUGGCGGACGGGUGAGGAAUACAUCGGAAUCUACCUUUUCGUGGGGGAUAACGUAGGGAAACUUACGCUAAUACCGCAUAAGACCUUCGGGUGAAAGCCGGGGACCUUCGGGCCUGGCGCGGAUAGAUGAGCCGAUGUCGGAUUAGCUUGUUGGCGGGGUAAAAGCCCACCAAGGCGACGAUCCGUAGCUGGUCUGAGAGGAUGAUCAGCCACACUGGAACUGAGACACGGUCCAGACUCCUACGGGAGGCAGCAGUGGGGAAUAUUGGACAAUGGGCGCAAGCCUGAUCCAGCCAUACCGCGUGGGUGAAGAAGGCCUUCGGGUUGUAAAGCCCUUUUGUUGGGAAAGAAAUCCUGCCGGUUAAUAACCAGUAGGGAUGACGGUACCCAAAGAAUAAGCACCGGCUAACUUCGUGCCAGCAGCCGCGGUAAUACGAAGGGUGCAAGCGUUACUCGGAAUUACUGGGCGUAAAGCGUGCGUAGGUGGUUGUUUAAGUCUGUCGUGAAAGCCCUGGGCUCAACCUGGGAAUUGCGAUGGAUACUGGGCGACUAGAGUGUGGUAGAGGAUAGUGGAAUUUCCGGUGUAGCAGUGAAAUGCGUAGAGAUCGGAAGGAACAUCUGUGGCGAAGGCGACUAUCUGGGCCAACACUGACACUGAGGCACGAAAGCGUGGGGAGCAACAGGAUUAGAUACCCUGGUAGUCCACGCCCUAAACGAUGCGAACUGGAUGUUGGGCACAACUUGGUGCCCAGUAUCGAAGCUAACGCGUUAAGUUCGCCGCCUGGGGAGUACGGUCGCAAGACUGAAACUCAAAGGAAUUGACGGGGGCCCGCACAAGCGGUGGAGUAUGUGGUUAAUUCGA